UGUGAUCUUAGCUCACUGUAACCUCGAACUCCUGGCUUCAGCAAUCCUCCCCGCUCAGCGUCCUAAGUAGCUGGAACUGCAGCUAAAUGUGGCUGAUGCUGAGGAGGACCUAGAUGGCAGAACAACAAGAAAGAAGCUGCCUCGGUUCCUGUCACUUCUGGGAAAAUCACUUAACUAGGAACACACACACUGACUGUCCCAUGACUGAGAAAUAAACUGUUGUAUUAAGCCACGGAAAUACUGAAGCUUAUUUGUUACAGUAGCAAGAGUUAACCUAACCAAUAUAUAUAUGCUGAUAAUUACUACAAUAAUAAUGGUGAUGGUGUCAGACAUUGCAUCAAACAAGCCAUCAUUAAUACUGUUAAGAAAUCUUGGCCCAGCCUAGGCAAUAUGGUGAGGUGCUGUCUCUACAAAAACAAACAAACAAACAAACAAACAAAAAAAAACAAUUAGCUGGGCACAGUGGCAUGCAGCUAUAGUCCCAGCUGCCUGGGAGACUGAGGUGGGAAGAUCACUUGAGCCCAGGAAUUUGAGGUUACAGUAAGCCUUGAUUGCACCACUGCACUCCAGUCUGGGCAACAGAGUGAGACCCUGCCCCCACCCCAAGUAAGCACAUGAAAAGAUGCUCAACAUCAUUAGCCAUGAGGGAAAUGCACAUGAAAACCAUAAUGAUAUGCUACUUCGUCCCUACUAGGAUGGCUAUGGUCAAAAAGAUGGGCAAUAGCAAGUGCUUGUGAGAAUGUGGAAAAAUUAGAACCCUCAGCCAUUGCUGGUGGGAAUGUAAAAUGGUGCAGCUGCUGUGAAAAAUUUUGGCAGUUCCUCAAAAAGUUAAACGCAGAGUUAUCCGAUGACCCAGCAAUUCUACUCUCAGAUAUAUACCCAAAGGAAUUGAAAAUAUAUGUUCACAUAAAAACUUGUACAGGAAUGUUCAUAGCAGCAUUAUUCAUGAUAGCCAAGAAGUGGAAACAACUCAAAUGUCUAUCAACUGAAGAAUGGAUAAACAAAUGUGGUAUAUGCACACAAUGGAAUACUAUUCAGCCAUAAAAAAUGAAAUUCAGAUAUAUGCUACAACACGGAUGAACCUUGAAAACACUAUGCUAAGUGAAAGAAGCAAGGAACAAAAGGUCACAUACUAUAUGAUUCCAUUUAUAUGAAAUGUCCAGAGUAUGCAAAUCCAUAAAGAAAAGACAGAAAGUAGAUUAUUGGAUGCUGGGGCUGGGAGAGUUGGAGGGAAAUGGGGAGUGACUGCUAAUGGGGAAGAUGUUUCUUUUUGGGGUGAUGAAAAUGUUCUGGAAUAUUAGAAAGCAGUGAUGGUUGCACAAUACUGUGACUAUACUAAAAACCACUCAAUUGUACACUGUAAAAGUGUAAAUUUUAUGGUAUGUGAAUUAUAUAUCAAUUUUAAAAAGAAAAAUAAAAAGAGAAACGCAUUUGCUCCACCUUGCCUCUUAGAGAUUCUGGCUCUACACAAAGAGGUAC
rnacentral:lncRNA from 1 species